rnacentral:lncRNA from 1 species
AUGCCAACCUGUUGCUGUACCUCUUUGACUAGAUGAUGUGGCAAGAGUAGUUGGACUGAAUGGUGUUGGCUCCCAUCAAGCUGGAGUAGUCGAUCUACGAUCAAAGCACCAUGGACCUACAAAAAAAAUCCAAGAACAUCGGAGAAGAUGGUGAGGAUUCUCUAGUAGGUGAUCUUUCGAUGAUUAAGUCAGUAUCGAUCGGAGAGGGAGACAGUAGAGAAAGAUGGAGUAAGAGAGAGAGUAGAGUCUAGAGUCCUCUCUUUUUCUCUUUAUCCUUCCCCUUUUGAUAGAGAGGUAUGUUGGAGCCGAAGAAGUGGUUGUCAGAGGUA